ACUGUAUUAGUUCAAUGGGUUAGAGUGUGGCGCUAGUAAUGCCACAGUUGCAGGUUUGAUCCCUGUAUGGGUUA
rnacentral:tRNA from 1 species